GCCGCCAUCUUCUAAUGGCCAGGAAGCCGGGCUUUCAAUCCGGCAAUGCGGGUUCGAUUCCCGCUGGCGGCA
rnacentral:tRNA from 1 species